rnacentral:rRNA from 1 species
GACGAACGCUGGCGGCGUGCCUAAUACAUGCAAGUCGAACGAGAGCGACCGGUGCUUGCACUGGUCAAUCUAGUGGCGAACGGGUGAGUAACACGUGGGUAACCUGCUCAUCAGAGGGGGAUAACAUCCGGAAACGGAUGCUAAAACCGCAUAGGUCUUCGAGCCGCAUGGCUUGAAGAGGAAAAGAGGCGCAAGCUUCUGCUGAUGGAUGGACCCGCGGUGCAUUAGCUAGUUGGUGAGGUAACGGCUCACCAAGGCCGUGAUGCAUAGCCGACCUGAGAGGGUGAUCGGCCACAUUGGGACUGAGACACGGCCCAAACUCCUACGGGAGGCAGCAGUAGGGAAUCUUCCGCAAUGGACGCAAGUCUGACGGAGCAACGCCGCGUGAGUGAAGAAGGUGUUCGGAUCGUAAAACUCUGUUGUUAGAGAAGAACAAGUGCUAGAGUAACUGUUAGCGCCUUGACGGUAGCUAAACAGAAAGCCACGGCUAACUACGUG